rnacentral:rRNA from 1 species
AGUGAACGCUGGCGGUAGGCCUAACACAUGCAAGUCGAACGGCAGCACAGUAAGAGCUUGCUCUUACGGGUGGCGAGUGGCGGACGGGUGAGGAAUACAUCGGAAUCUACUUUUUCGUGGGGGAUAACGUAGGGAAACUUACGCUAAUACCGCAUACGACCUACGGGUGAAAGCAGUGGAUCUUCGGACCUUGCGCGAUUGAAUGAGCCGAUGUCGGAUUAGCUAGUUGGCGGGGUAAAGGCCCACCCAGUCGACGAUCCGUAGCUGGUCUGAGAGGAGGAUCAGCGACACUGGAACUGAGACGCGGUCCAGACUCCGACGGGAGGCAGCAGUGGGGAAUAUUGGACAAUGGGCGGAAGCCUGAUCCAGCCAUACCGCGUGGGUUAAGAAGGCCUUCGGGUGGUAAAGCCGUUUUGUUGGGAAAGAAAAGCAGCGGGUUAAUACCACGCUGUUCUGACGGUACCCAAAGAAUAAGCACCGGCUAACUGCGU